rnacentral:rRNA from 1 species
AUGGCGGGAUCGCGGCGAGGGGGCGACGAGGAGGCGUGCCGCGUCGGGCUCCUGGACGGGCACGGCGGCGCCAAGAAGGAUGACUGGCAGGUGGUCGCCGGCGGCGAGGAAUCCAGCAAGCUCGGGAGGCGGGUGUUGGAGGAGUCGAAGAAGCUGUGGGUGAUCGUGGCGCCGGCCAUGUUCAGCCGCAUCGUCACCUUCAGCAUGAACGUCAUCACGCAGGCCUUCGCCGGCCACCUGGGCGACCUCGAGCUCGCCGCCAUCUCCAUCGCCAACACCGUCGUCGUGGGCUUCAGCUUCGGCCUCAUGCUUGGCAUGGCGAGCGCGCUGGAGACGCUGUGCGGGCAGGCGUUCGGCGCCAAGAAGUUUCACAUGAUGGGCGUCUACAUGCAGCGCUCCUGGAUCGUGCUGCUGGGCUGCGCGGUGCUGCUCCUCCCCAUGUACUUCUUCGCCGAGGACGUGCUGCUGCUCACGGGGCAGUCGCCGGAGCUUUCGGCGAUGGCCGGCAGGGUCUCCGUCUGGUUCAUCCCGCUGCACUUCUCCUUCGCCCUCCUCUUCCCGCUGCAGCGCUUCCUGCAGUGCCAGAUGAAGAACUUCGUCAGCGCCGCCGCCUCCGGGGUGGCGCUCUGCGUCCACCUCCUCGUCAGCUGGCUCUUCAUCACCCGGUUCCAGUUCGGACUCGUCGGGAUCGCGCUCACCCUCAACUUCUCCUGGUGGGCCACCUUCGCCAUGCUCUUCGGCUACGUCGCCUGCGGCGGCUGCCCGGACACGUGGCACGGCUUCUCCGUCGAGGCGUUCGCCGACAUUUGGGAGUUCGUCAAGCUCUCCGCCGCGUCGGGCGUCAUGCUAUGCCUGGAGAACUGGUACUACAGGGUACUCAUCUUGCUGACAGGGAACCUCAAGGACGCGGCUAUUGCGGUGGAUGCGCUCUCCAUCUGCAUGACUAUUAACGCAUGGGAGAUGAUGAUUCCUUUGGCGUUCUUCGCGGGCACUGGAGUUCGGGUGGCGAACGAGCUGGGCGCCGGGAACGGGAAGGGGGCGAGGUUCGCGACGAUCGUGUCGUCCUUGACGUCGCUGGUGAUCGGGCUCUUCUUCUGGGUGCUCAUCAUGGGGCUCCACGACAAGCUGGCGCUCAUCUUCACCUCCAGCGCCGUGGUGCUGGACGCCGUCAACAACCUCGCCAUCCUGCUGGCCUUCACCAUCCUGCUCAACAGCAUCCAGCCCGUGCUCUCAGGUGUGGCUGUUGGGUCUGGCUGGCAAUCCGCGGUGGCCUACAUCAACAUCGGCAGCUACUACCUCAUCGGCGUCCCCAUGGGCGUCCUCCUUGGCUGGCUCUUCAACCUUGGCGUCCUGGGGAUCUGGGCGGGGAUGAUCGGCGGAACGGCCGUCCAGACGCUGAUCCUGGCCAUCAUGACCAUUCGCUGCGACUGGGAAAAGGAGGCCAUGGUCGCGAGCACACGGAUGGACAAGUGGUCCGAGGUCCGGUGA